AACGAACGCUGGCGGCAUGCCUAACACAUGCAAGUCGAACGAACUCUUCGGAGUUAGUGGCGCACGGGUGCGUAACGCGUGGGAAUCUGCCCUUGGGUACGGAAUAACUCAGAGAAAUUUGUGCUAAUACCGUAUAAUGUCUUCGGACCAAAGAUUUAUCGCCCAAGGAUGAGCCCGCGUAAGAUUAGCUUGUUGGUGAG
rnacentral:rRNA from 1 species